UACGGAGGGUGCAAGCGUUAUCCGGAAUCACUGGGUUUAAAGGGUACGUAGGCGGUUAUGUAAGUCAGACGUUAAAGACUACGGCUAAACCGUGGUACGCGUUUGAAACUGCGUAACUUGAAUAUAUUCGAGGUACAUGGAAUGCUUCAUGUAGCGGUGAAAUGCAUAGAUAUGAAGUAGAACACCAAAAGCGAAGGCAGUGUACUAGGAUAUCAUUGACGCUGAGGUACGAAAGCGUGGGUAGCGAACAGG
rnacentral:rRNA from 2 species